GAAAACUUUCUUUCUGCAUGAAGCAUCAAGUGACGAGAGAUGGCAAUUUAAACUGACCUGGUGCAGCUGCAAGAUCUAUCAAAACUUGAGGCAAUUACCACAUUAUAAUCAUUAGUUUCAUCAAGGUAUUGAUAUGGCCUCAUGACUAUAUUACCCAAGAACCUGAUGUGUACUCAAGCCUCAAUCAUAUAUUAAGUUUACACAAUCUCAUUCUUAUGUCCGACUAUCAACCUGAUGGUAAAGUAAAACCUGUCUGCAUUAGCUAGUAUGUAAUUUAAGCCAUAAAUUGAAA
rnacentral:lncRNA from 1 species